CGGCAUGGUAAACCCCACCGGGAGCAAGACCAAAUAGGGACGGCGCGCCGCAAUGCCUUCGGGCUCGUGGCAGGCAGGUUUUCGGGCUGCUGUCCGGGUAGGUCGCACGAGGCGCCGGGUAAUCGGCGUCCCAGAUGAAUGGUCAUCGCCGUUGCCUUCGGGCAAGGGAUACAGAACCCGGCUUACAGGCCAUCUGGCAUU
rnacentral:RNase_P_RNA from 1 species